rnacentral:rRNA from 1 species
GACGAACGCUGGCGGCGUGCCUAAUACAUGCAAGUAGAACGCUGAAGGAGGAGCUUGCUUCUCUGUAUGAGUUGCGAACGGGUGAGUAACGCGUAGGUAACCUGCCUGGUAGCGGGGGAUAACUAUUGGAAACGAUAGCUAAUACCGCAUAAGAGUAGAGGUUGCAUGACAUUGGCGUAAAAGGUGCAAUUGCAUCACUACCAGAUGGACCUGCGUUGUAUUAGCUAGUUGGUGGGGUAACGGCUCACCAAGGCGACGAUACAUAGCCGAACUGAGAGGGUGAUCGGCCAAACUGGGACGGAGACACGGCCCAGACCCCUAAGGGAGGCAGCCGUAGGGAAUCUUCGGAAAUGGACGGAAGUCUGACCGAGCAACGCCGCGUGAGAGAAGAAGGGCUUCGGAUUGUAAAGCUCUGUUGUACGAGAAGAAAGAGUGUGAGGGUGGAAAGUUCACACUGUGACGUUACCUGAACAGAAAGGGACGGCUAACUCCGUG